rnacentral:rRNA from 1 species
GCGUGCCUAAUACAUGCAAGUCGAGCGAACGGACGAGAAGCUUGCUUCUCUGAUGUUAGCGGCGGACGGGUGAGUAACACGUGGAUAACCUACCUAUAAGACUGGGAUAACUUCGGGAAACCGGAGCUAAUACCGGAUAAUAUUUUGAACCGCAUGGUUCAAAAGUGAAAGACGGUCUUGCUGUCACUUAUAGAUGGAUCCGCGCUGCAUUAGCUAGUUGGUAAGGUAACGGCUUACCAAGGCAACGAUGCAUAGCCGACCUGAGAGGGUGAUCGGCCACACUGGAACUGAGACACGGUCCAGACUCCUACGGGAGGCAGCAGUAGGGAAUCUUCCGCAAUGGGCGAAAGCCUGACGGAGCAACGCCGCGUGAGUGAUGAAGGUCUUCGGAUCGUAAAACUCUGUUAUUAGGGAAGAACAUAUGUGUAAGUAACUGUGCACAUCUUGACGGUACCUAAUCAGAAAGCCACGGCUAACUACGUGCCAGCAGCCGCGGUAAUACGUAGGUGGCAAGCGUUAUCCGGAAUUAUUGGGCGUAAAGCGCGCGUAGGCGGUUUUUUAAGUCUGAUGUGAAAGCCCACGGCUCAACCGUGGAGGGUCAUUGGAAGCUGGAAAACUUGAGUGCAGAAGAGGAAAGUGGAAUUCCAUGUGUAGCGGUGAAAUGCGCAGAGAUAUGGAGGAACACCAGUGGCGAAGGCGACUUUCUGGUCUGUAACUGACGCUGAUGUGCGAAAGCGUGGGGAUCA